rnacentral:pre_miRNA from 1 species
AGAGGUAUUGCUGGAUCCUCCGGUAGUACUAUGUCCAAUUUUUUGAGGAACCGCCAGACUGAUUUCCAGAGUGGUUGUACAAGCCUGCACUCCCACCAACAAU